ensembl:lncRNA
AUGCUUGUACUGGCUGCACCCAGACCACCAGAGAGCCAAGAGGUAGUGCCAGAGAAGAGUUUCAUCAGUGAAAACUUGCUGGAGUCAAAUUACAAAGAAAUUCACCUCAUAGACACUUUGACUGAUCCUACUCCACUACUUCCACUGUCGGCCCUCUCUGCUCGCAUCCGGCAUAGAGAAAAAGAAAGCUCUGUGGAGCUGUUUGGGGAGAUGUUUCACAACCUCCCACGUCUAAAUUCUGAAUUCCUCAAUACCUCCUGGCAAACCUCUAGAAAUAUAAACCCCAAAACACUUUCAAAAGACUUUACUACCCCUUCUUCAUCUCCCAAAACUCAGUCUGUCAUAACACACAGCCCACCCCUUUCCCCUAGAUCUCUGCCCAUAUCCCCUCAGAGUCGAGUGUUUUCCUCUAUAUCAUCAAGGCCAUAUUUUAAAUUGUCAAAUGCUACCUCUUCUAAGUCUAAACCCAAAAUGUUGCCUUCUUCCAUAUUGUCGGCUAAGUCUGUAAGUAAACCCAACCCAAACAAGACUACAAAAAGUAGAGUACACAGAGUGACAGUUGCUAAAAAGGACUUAAAUGACAAACUGUCAUCUCCUCAACCACCUAAAGAACACUGUAGCCCCACCAGACCCCCAGCUCACGUUUCCAGGGAAGAGCCUGCAUCACCACAACCAGAGGAUGAAAUGGUUCGGAGACAAAUAAUCAUUGACGAUAUGACAGAGAAAGGAGCUGACUUGAACAUUUUGCCAAACAUGAAGAGAGAAAAGGAAAAGAAAAAGGGCCAAGCUCUUAGAAGUAAUACAAAAGAAGCCAAACAACUCCAAUCCAUAUUGAAGACAGACCAAAAUUCCCACAAGGCCUUGCCUACAGAGCUCCUGAAGGGCUAUGUCUCCCUGAAGAAAGAAGUGUCUUCACUGAAGAGCACAGAGAAAAAACCCAAUGUCACAUCCAAAAGAAAAGAGAACACGACCAAGCAGUCCAAGAAAAUCAAAACUCAAGAGGACAAACAUGAGCAAAACGAGUUAUUCCUUCUUGAGUCACCAAAACACAAUAGCAGAAAACAAUCGGACUUAAGCCCAAAAAUUCCACAGUCUGUCCGGAAGACACUGAAUGAAGCACAGCAGGGACUGACUGAAGUGCAGGAAAAUGCCAGGAAAAAUAGAAAUUUGACAGGAGAGCUAAAUCAAGAGGACAUGAAAGAUAGUUCUCUUGAGAAAAACAUAAUAGGCCCCCCGAAGAAAGAGACAACAUCACUUUUGGGCAAGACAUCGCCUGUUAUUAAGCUUACAAAAGGAAAUGAAAUAACUAGCAGUGGAAGUUCCACGCAUGUGGAAAAUGCAGCAAAAGAAAAUGCACAAAUCGAAAGUAAAACAACUGAUGUAAAAGCAAGUAAAGUUGAGGCGCAACAGAAAAUGCAGCAAACCAAAUCAACUCCAACAAAACACUGGCAAAAGGUUAAAUCUACACCAAGAAAAGGUCAAAGCAAAACACUGAAUGUGAAAUCACCACCAGUGACGAAAGAAACCACUGCUGUCACUACGCCUGUUCAGGCUGAAAUUAAGAAAUCCCUGGAAGUGAAAUCGAUACCUAUGAAAGUCAAAGAGAAGCCACAACAUGACAAAUCCACACCAGCCAAAGAGCAAAAUGCUCCAGAUAAAAGUGUAAGAGAAGGAAAGGAUGCUGAAAAUGAGUUGAACUUUGCAAAGAACACAGAUGAAACAAUGAAAGGCAAAUCUGCAUUUAGGGAGAAGUUACAUGGUGCAUACAGUGCUAAAGUAAAGGACCAAAACAAAGUAAAGGAAUCUAAAUUGAAGAGAAAAACAAAACAAGGGGGAGAAGAUGGACAGGAAGUCAAAAAUAAAGGUGAAGGUAACACAGACAAAAAUAAAAUGAAGGCCAAGGCGAGGAGCAAGCAGAAUGAGGCAUUGAGCCCACAGUUAUCACAGCAGGAUACACCUACUCUGUGCCUCAGUGCUUCACAGAUCCCAGAGAGGACAGAAGUAGUUUCCAUCAGUCGUGACAAAUCCAUACAGGACUCUGAACCUGUUGAAUCAAAGGAUGAGAGUCUUAUUGAGGAAAAAUCAAGGUGGAGGGAAAUCCUCACCAACACAGCAUCUCUUCUUCCUGCUGCUGGGAUAGCUGGUGCAGCAAUGCAGGUCCUUAGUGAGGCAGUUACAAGUGUGAAGGGUCAGUCGGACAGUGACACGACUGCCUCUACACCGCCCAAAACGCCAAGUCGUGCGAAGCAAUUCACAAAGCAAAGUGCAGUUUUACAGAGUUCUUUCUCCACAACAGUGUCGCGUUCGUCUUCAGCAGAACCACCAAAUCUACAAGAAGAAUGCACAAAGAAGGAUCCACGGGUCAGUGUCCUAUCAGAGACUGAAAAUGCAGUUCAAGAAGAGGAAAGUAACAACAUCACACAUUAUCAGACAGUAGAGGAGGUGGUGCAGAGUGACAUGUCCAAGUGGACUGAGCCUGAAGACCUUCCACAAACUGAGACCAGUUACAGUGGCACAGACGGGGAAGCUGACCAGCAUAAAGAAGAGGAGACUGAAGACGAGGAAACCUCCAAGGUCUCUAACGAAGAUGUGGAGGAAGAGUAUGAGAAUAACGAGGGAGAAGAAACAGAAACUGAAAAUGAGGAAAAGAAGGAAAACGAAGUAGAGAGUAGAAGCGAUGUGGAAGACGAUGAGGAGGACGAGGGAAGUGAAACAGAGGAUGAAAAUGAGAGUGCUUCUGAAGAGGGUGAGGAAGAUCAAGAUAAUGAAGCUGAGGAGAAAACAGUCUCCAGCAGUGAGGAAGAGGAUGAAGGAAGUGAGAAUAGUCUUUCUGCAGAGGCAGAAGGGGAGGAAGAUGAGAGCGAAGAAAGCAAUAAGGAAACAGGUGAAUCAGAGAGUGACUCAGCAGCAGUCGAGGAGGAGGGGGAAAGUGAAGAGUCCAAUGAAAAAGAAAGUACAGAGGAAGAGGAUGAACGUGAGUUAAGUGAGGAUGAGGAAGAUGAAGAAGAUUCUGGAAGUGCAGUUGGCAGCAAGAGUGAAGAGUCUGAAGAAGAGGAGGAGGAUGGAGAGGGAAAUGACACCACAGAGUCUGAGUCUAAAAAAAGCGAAGAGGAGGAAGAAGAACAUUUCACUGAAAGUGAGGAUGAGGAGAAAGAGUCAGAGGAUGAAGAAACAAAUGAGAGUGAAGGGGAGGAAGCGAGUGAAGAGAAGGAGGAUGAAGCAAGCGUUGAUUAUGAUGAGGAAGAAGAGGAAGACAAUGAGACUGGUCAAGAGGAAGAAGAGCAAAGUGAAGUAAGUGAUGAAGAAAAUGACGAGGAGGGCGAGGAGGAGGAAGACGGUGAGGAGGAAGAGGAGGAAGAAGAAGAGGUUGGAGAGGAAGAAGAAGGCGAAGAGGAAGAAAAUGAAGUUGAGGAGGAGCAAGAAAUUACAAGAAAAGAGAAGAGUAUGGAGGCCAAUAAAAAGGCCAAGGUGGAGACUGAGGAGGAAGGGGAAGAGGAGGAGGAGGAGGAGGAAGGGAAUGAGGAAGAAGAGGAGGAAGAGGAGGAGGACGAAGAAAGAAAUGAAACAUAUAUUAAACCAAAAACACAAACAAGUCUCAAAAAUCAGAGAGAAGAAAGACGUAAACAGGAACAAACUAAAAGAAAGAAAGGCUAUGAUUCUGAAGAAAGUGAAGAUGACAGUGAGGAAGAGGCUAACAAUGAGGGGGAAGAAUUAGGGGAGGAGGAAGAAGAUGAAGCAGAGGAAGAAGAAGAGGAAGAAGUGCAUGAGGAAAAAGGAAAGACUGCAAAAGUCAAACAUAAACACAUGGCUGAAGAUGAACAGGAGAGUCAGGAGGAGGAAGAUUAUAGAGAACAAGACAGAAAUACAAAAGAGGAAGAGGGGGAAGAAGGCGAGGAAGAGGAGGAAGAAGGUGAGGAAGAGGAGGAAGAAGGUGAGGAAGAGGAGGAGGAAGACGAAGAGAUGGAGGAAGAAAAAGUCAAAUCAACAAAAACAAAAAAAGAGGACACACAGAAGUUGCCUCUGAAACCUGCUCCUCCAAGCAGAAAACAGAAACAGGCCAAAGAAACGCCCAAACCAGCACCGAGGACGAGGCAGAGAGCUGCAGGGGAGAAGAAACAAGAUCAGCAGUUCUGGAACAAUGUAUUGCCACAGUACCUGGACCUGCAAUAAACCUGUGCUUCAGACUCGACCAGAGCAUCAUCGAAAUAAAGGUUAUUUUUCUUACAGUCAGCAAAACGCAACAAUCCACGACUCACUAUGUUACGGCUUCCUGGCCUCAUCUGUGCCACUCAUCCCUAAACCCAUUCAUAUCAGGCAGUACAUACAUUACUGUAAAUUCACUGGGUUAGGUCUUUUAAUGGCAUUCGUUGACAGAAAGAAACGUGUCACCAAUUUUAUCCUUAAAAAUUAUUCAAAUGUUUGACGCACUUGAUUCCACAAUGUUAAUGACCAUUUUGUAUCCUUAUUGUAUUCUAUCAUCUAAUGUUUUCUUUACGUUUCGUG